GCACAUUCUCCAGCGGAGCCAGUUAUGCCUCAUCCGUUUCAUAAGCACACAAAAGUUGAUCAAGAUGUGUGUUAAUGGAUGUUAAUGUGCGGCGGUUAGCUGAAUAGUCCUUGGGCCCCAGUCCCAUAUAUAUUGAUGCUCCAAUAUCAUACUGAUACAAUCCUUAUGCAGUCCUCUUCUAAUUUGUUACCUUCUAUCUCUAGAGGGUCAAGGAAGAUACACAGCAGUCAUAACCUGGAGUACUGCAACACAAACCGGCAUGAUCUAAGAGAGUGCCAGAGUCCAUGGGUCGAGAAAGACUAUAUAUUUCCGGCACAGAAGAUCCGAGAUAAGAGGAGAGCGGGGGCUGGGAGGCAGCGCAUGAUCAAUCUAAGAGGAGAGGGGGUUAGGAAGAGGAAACCGCUACGAGAAGGGAUAUAAUGGAAGAUAUGGAAAUUCUACUUCAAAUAAGUUUCAUAUAUUUUUUAAAUUAUGUCAAACAAUUUUCACCAUGUUUAAACUGGUUUUGGACCUAUUCAAAUAAGGCCCACCCCCCACCCCCACUUCGUUAGCACUACUUAGUUUUUUCCGUAGCUUUGCUCCGCUUUCUCCCACAUUCGUCCAUAUACCAACCUCGAAAAUGCCCACACGUUGAUCGUUCCUGAGCUGAUCGAAUUCCUGACAUGAGUGAGACCGCCUAAAACCUUACAUGUGGACCGGCUAUAAGCUUACAGCCCUCAUGCCAAUGUCUCAACCUGCGGUGUUCCCUCUUACACACGUGGACCCAGGCCGCUUUGGCCUUGCGUCCUUACCGCUCGCCUUGCCUGAAUUAGCACGCGCCUUCAAUGCCCUAGCCAAUUAAAAAGUUGCCGGCUGCUGACGAUCAUCUUCAUAGCAUCAAUGCGCCCACUAUUUGUGUGCCAAUUUUGUCACCACCAUUACUGCCCGUCUGGCCGCGAGCACGCUAACAAAAUGACCAUUUUCUCCCUUCCACCAACACUUUUGCGAAAAUUUUAUUCAUGUCCCUUCUACCCACGCGUCAACUGACCUCCUCCUCCUCUCCCAUUCCACCCAUGUCGUGGACACUCCUCUCCACUUCUCAUGGCUCGUGGUGGCCCUUCUACUGUGCUCAUAGCGGCAAGUCCACACAUGUGUUCUGGCAAUGCCAUGGUUUCUAGAGGUGAGCGGACUUAAUCGGGAGCUCUCCCCUCUCAAUUUGUCUUCCCUUGGUCUCCAGGAGCCGACAAGGGAGACUGCAAGAGGCAGAGGCGAUAAAAAGACCGCGAGAGGUGGAGGCGACCCGGAAAUCGAUCGCGGGUAGACCAUCACGCAGCGCCAAGUCUAGGCCACAUGGAGUAUGUGAUCGGAACCAAGGACUCGACGAUGAAGAAGUCAUUGGAGCAAAGUCGUCCUCCCCAUGUGGUGACUCCUCGCCAAGCCAAAUGUCCGAGCCAGAGUGUCACAAAUGAAGUUUUUGGGCCUUGCCUUCCAACAUAAGUGGUCUUUAGUAGUGCAUGCAUGCUGUACGCUUAUGUUUUUAAAUUGAUUCCAUUCCAACCGCAA